rnacentral:rRNA from 1 species
AAACCGAGGUGGCAAGCGUUGUUGGGAAUUAUUGGGCGUAAAGAGCACGUAGGUGGAUUUGUUAGUCAGAUGUGAAAGCCUUUUGUUCAACGGAAGAAUUGCAUCUGAAACUACAAACCUUGAGUAUAGGAGGGGAGAGUGGAACUUCUGGUGGAGCGGUGAAAUGCGUAGAUAUCAGAAGGAACGCCGGCGGCGAAAGCGACUCUCUGGCCUAUAACUGACACUGAGUGUGCGAAAGCUAGGGGAGCAAACGGGAUUAGAUACCCGAGUAGUCC